AGAGAGAGAGAGAGAGAGGGACAUUCGUCAGCUUUCUCCAUUGGACAUCCCAUCCAGACCUCUGCAUCUGCAAGAAGCACCACCGCCUCUGUGUUCCCUCCUCUUCAGAUCCGCUUCCCCCAAUGGCGACGCUCGAGGCCCUCGACGUCGACGAGCCGAAGAAGGCGGCGGCGGCGGCGAAGAAGACCCAGAAGAGGAGGAGCCACGGCAGCACCCGCUUCUUCGUCCUCGUCGAUUACCUCUUCCUCUGCAUCUUCUUCUGCUUCCUCUGCUUCAUCCUCUACAAGAUGAUGGCCCGUCUCUGACGGGACCCCUCCCUCCCUCCCCACGCCCGCGCCCCCGCGCUCCUUCCCGACCGCCGCCGCGAAGGAGGUAUAGGCUUUCAGUAUGAUUUGAAUUUGAAGCUGCUGGGCACUAUGGGAUUAUGGAGAGUCAGGGCAUAUAAAUCUAUUGUGGGUUUCUUGUUGUGUAGAAAUUCCACCAGAUUGUUACAUGGAAAAUUUUGAGAAAGAUCUGUUUUAGAUGUUCUCGAGGAUUAUAUUUCUCUUUGCUUCUAUUUAGGAUCACAUUCUUUAUAUCUUUUUUGGGGGUAUUAGUUUCUACUGUUGGAGCUGAAAUAUGGCAUCAUCUUGCUUAUGGACUAGCUGCAUUGUAUUGUGUCAAGAUAAACUUCUGAAACAUGAACUAGUUGAAGGUAACUUUGGUGUAUUGGGGCUGGGAGAAUGUUGAUGAUGUAAGAUCUACAGACUAUGUAAAAGAGUCAAUUCAAUACUAACUACUGGUUAAUGUA